rnacentral:rRNA from 1 species
GACGAACGCUGGCGGCGUGCCUAAUACAUGCAAGUAGAACGCACAGUUUAUACCGUAGCUUGCUACACCAUAGACUGUGAGUUGCGAACGGGUGAGUAACGCGUAGGUAACCUGCCUGGUAGCGGGGGGUAACUAUUGGAAACGAUAGCUAAUACCGCAUAAUAUUAAUUAUUGCAUGAUAAUUGAUUGAAAGAUGCAACUGCAUCACUACCAGAUGGACCUGCGUUGUAUUAGCUAGUAGGUGAGGUAACGGCUCACCUAGGCGACGAUACAUAGCCGACCUGAGAGGGUGAUCGGCCACACUGGGACUGAGACACGGCCCAGACUCCUACGGGAGGCAGCAGUAGGGAAUCUUCGGCAAUGGACGAAAGUCUGACCGAGCAACGCCGCGUGAGUGAAGAAGGGUUUCGGAUCGUAAAGCUCUGUUGUAAGAGAAGAACGGGUGUGAGAGUGGAAAGUUCACACUGUGACGGUAUCUUACCAGAAAGGGACGGCUAACUACGUG